GUGCCCCAUCCUCACCGCCCAAUUCCCCUAUUCUUCCUCCUCCCCUCUUUGGACGCCGAUCUCUUCGUCUUCCCCAAACUGACGGCGCCGCCCAACAUGAUGCCUCUUCUCCCACGUGUAUAAAACCCCUUGGCAAGGAAGUCUCAUUCCCUCCCUCUCGCCUCUGCCCCAAUUUCCCUCUUAUCUCUGCUCUAGAGCGAUCGUCGCUGCCCCUCUGCCCUAGUUCACCGUCGCCUUGUUCCUCAUGCGGCAAGCCUAUGGCCGACACCAAACGCCCUUCUUCUUGAUCUGGUGGUGCCCUAACCAGGUUGGUCAGUCAUCGCUUCUUCCUCCUUUCUUUGCAAUCCAUCUUGCCGACACUAUGGAUUCCUUGGCACUUGAGGGGAUUUGAUUUGGAGAUCUACUUUAGAGAUCGACAACAACACUUGUGGCUUCUGUCACUAUAUUUCUGACAGCAAGGGGUUUCCAGCAGUGGGCUGAUAGAAGAGCAAACAGAUUUGGUUUCGAUCAGCACUGUUCGCCGACUAUCUACAGCUCCAGUCAUUCUCUUCUAAUAGUGAACCACUCUGGCUGUGAUCUACUAGUGAUCAUCUUGGAGUAAGGAUUUUGAUUCUAGACGAGUGUCUCGACGUGGGCAUUUUUGAGGCGAGU